UAAUUUUAAAUUAAUUCUGGGGCACAUGGCACCUCAGCCUUAUUAUCUGGUUUUUCAGCAGUGAUUGGAGACUGAUGUAAUCCAAGUACAAACAGGAUGGUUCAAAAGACUUAUUUGUUCAAGAGUGCUGUUCAAAAGACUCUUAAUUUGAUCACUUGCUAAGAAUUAUUCAGAAUUAUUUUUAAAACAGCUAGCGCAGUGAAGAUUUAUUGCACCUACGAGAUUUGGACUUAGUACUUUCUUCUCAAAGCAAAAAGUCUCCUUCCAGCUGAGAGAAGAUGGAGGUUCCUUCUCCUAUUGCCCAUAAACUUCAUGCUGAAUAAAAUAUGGAGGAGGAGGAGGUAGCUGAAGAGGAAUGUGAUGUCUGUUCACUCCUAUAUACACAUCAGGAGCUGGGUGUGUUGCCACUGCAGUGCUUUCAGCCUCUGCCAUCCUGGGUAGUUCAGAAGCCCUGCUUUGCAGCACAAAUCCCUGGAUCAGAUUCUGAGAUGACUCAGAUAUGAAUUGGGAGAUUUCUCAGCCCUUCAUUAAGCCCUAAUCCUGCCCCAUAGAAGUCAAUGGGAGUUUUAGCAUUGGUGUCAAUGGGAGUAGGAUCAAGCACUUGAGUGACUGGAGAAUCCAAUCUUACAAACAGAGCCUUUCUUCCACUAUUUAUACAACACCUGGAGUGAUGCUGAUACGGUCCAGAGGGAGUCUCCACCAGCUCUCUUUGACAAAUGGGUUGGUUGUCACAAUUCAAGGCCAUCAGGGGUUGAAAGAUAUGAAGCAUGAAAACAGAGGGAACACUGGGUCUCAAAAAAUAAAAGGUUUCUGGGAAAUAUAUAGUAGGUAGA